UCAGAGAGUGUGUCCACGUAGGACAAUUAAAUCAUCCAAUCAGAGAACAGCUCUCCGCCACGUCAUAUACGCAUGACAAAUUCUAAUUUCCCCAAAAUCGAAUCUCGAUCCCUUUCUCUUCGUCUUCUCCGUCUGCUAUUUUAGAUCAAAACCAACUUGCUCGACUGGUCUUGCAGCGACGAAUCACCCGCGAGGCAUAGUCUUAUCUUCCGCGGUUUGAUCCCUGUGCUGUACGCAGGGUCGGCAAGAGCCUCGCACGAUGAAUCGACAGAAGAAGCUAUUGAGUUUGCGACUCAGCAGGGGAAAGAGAAGGAGCUGUGCAAGACUGGAGACUCCGUUGUUGCUCUACUCCGAGUUGGGAACGCUUCCCUAAUCAAGAUCUUGACCGUUAAGUGAUGAUGAUUAGGAAAAAUCCCGUUUUUGGCGUCUGGCGUUUGGAGGAAACGCAACUAUAUACGUUUUUCUUAAUAUGAAUUUUGUUCAAGAUUUGUGAUUAAAAUCUUGAGAUAGAAAACUCAAAUUCUCUUUCUUGAUAAUUACAACUGUGGUGACCCGUGUGAAUCCACUUACGGUUUUUUUUUUCUGGAUACUCAGGUGGUUGUAUGGAACUAAUGAAUCGUACACGUAUCUCUACUAUCAUGACUUUUUUUUGUUUUUUUGUUUUGUUUUGGUGAAGUUUGAUGCUUUGGUUGCAGCCCUUCCGUUAUCAGACUGAGGUGAAGAAACUCAGUUGAAAAGAAUUGUUGAACUCCUGGUAAUAUAUGUCUCACUCACUGAUAAGUUGAGCUCGAUAAAUAAAUCAUUGCAUGUUCCCUUCUAUGCUAUUUUUCUUCAGGUGGAAAAUGAUGUUAUUGGCCAAGAGCUCUCUAACGAUUUACAUCUAUUCUGAUCCAACUGCUGCGGAACGUUUGUAUCGAAGAAAGAUGUCAUGUAGAAAAAGUCAUCAGCUGGGCAAGCACAAGGUUUAACAACCACUAAACCACUCAGUUGAGACAGUAGGAUCUCUUUCGUGUUGAUCAUACAAGCUUGCGAUAUAGAGCUAGAAGACAAAGCCAGAGAAGUAGCACAGCUGAAAACAGAGAGGUAGAGCUAGAGAGAAUUACGAGGCUGAAGCAUGUAGAGGCAGACAUAUCCCCAGCUAAAAGUUAACGAUGCAAAGCGGAGGCUGAUUGGUCGAUUAUUAAGGGCAUGGACAAUAUUCAAACGCUGGAUGCAAAAUUGUUUUCAGUAUUUUAUUUGCUAACGCCACCGUAUGUGCAGGUUGCAGAGUUUAAAUGCCUACUCGGUGUUAAAGCUAAUACCAAAGAAUGAAUACUAUGACAAAACUCUCCAGCUUCCAAAAGAAUUUGAUGCUACAACUGCUUGGUGACAGUGCACCAGUGUUGGAAGGAUCCUAGGUGCUUUUUUAUACAACUAAAUAAAUGUCUAAUACCAACCCGAGGAUGCUGUACAUUGACAAUGUUGAUGAUGAAACGAAAGAUUCCGAGGACGAUUUAGAUGAGAACUUUCAUGGGGAGGACAUGCCUGCAUCCCACUGCAAUGUCGACGAGUUUGACUAGAAAAAAAUUAUCAUUGUUUUUUAUAUCUCUGUUCAGGGGAAGAGAAAGAUUUGGCUCAACAGAUGCUGCCGCCAACAUAUUUUUUUAUCCUUCUUUUCGCUUCGGUACAUCCACAACACAUAUUCUAUAAUUGUUAGUUUGUUUUUCUCUCCUCAGGUCUCAUUCAUCUUCUGUCUAUUUGGAAAUUAAACUUACUGAAGAAGUUGCAAGGGAUAAGCAAAGUUGCUUCUUCUUCAGGAAACAAGUUAGGUUGCAAGAAACACUGACACCAAAGAAGUUGCUUAUUCUAGCUCUUCAGGAAGCUGAGAGAAAUGGAAAUAGCAUAUAUAUUAUCUGCCUUAUCCGUGUGGAGAAUUCAGAGGAUGAGGACCAUACUUCUCAGGUGGCUAAACGUUGAUGCUUUUUGAUCAGGUGGCUAGGCAUUGAUGCUCACUGCAGGUUUCAACUGAAUCACUUUGGUUUACUCCAAAAGAGAGGUAUUAGCUUAUAACUACUAUACACUGUGCUCUUUGGUGUCUGAAGGAAAGAAAUAUGCUCUCAGGUUCAUCGCAAUGGAACUCUAUAAUGUCUGAGAGGUCCUCUAUAGUUCCAUCGUCAGGCUUCCCAAGUUUAAUCUUUCUCCAAGAAUUCAAAAAGUUUCCAUAUGGCGGAAGGGAUGUAACACUUCUGAAGUCAUUUGAGUUCCAAGACCUAUAAUCAUGUGGUCAGUUUUUACCGUUUCAAGUUUCAACAGUGGUCACUCCACUUUGGGUCAGCUUGCAUUCAGUUACAUGCCAGUUAAGUUCAAGUUUCUUCGUGCAAGAGCGUGCACCCGAACAUCACCUCUCAAUUUAGCUAUAGAGAUUCUGAAAUGGAGUGAGGAGAGAACAAACAUAUGCGUGAUGUAUACUCUAUGUCCAGUACUUAUCAAGUUCUUCACAAAUCAGUGUAUUCACAUUAAAAACAAGUCUAAUGUAAAUAGUCACCACUAUCUGGAGUAGAGAUUCUUACACAUUGAUCUUAAUUGUUUGAGAUUCAGUUCAGCGCAUUCAUUUCUUUUUUGAACUUGACCAUUGAAGCUCUUCGCAACUAAACCAUGACUUGAACCCCUCUAACCAUCGACUGUUCUCUUUUUUUUUGUGACUAAUCGACUGUUCUAUAAUGAACGCUGACAUUAACAUUUUAACAAUCUGUGAAACAAAACAACUCAUCCUUCGUAAGUAAUCCUGUUGAGCAGCAUGUAUCAUGAACUAAUAAAAUGUUUUUUUUUGUGCAACAUUAGUUAUCUACUUAAUUAACUUCAUUUGGUAACUAAAUGUCUUUUUUUUAAAAAAAAUUCUCUCGCAAGUUAUCAUGUAAAUACCAUAUGUUUUGAACCAAGUGUUGUCCAAGGUUGAGUCCUCACAAAAAGAGUACGAAAUAUGAGGAAACCAUAAGAGAAGACAAACUAAUACCACAUUAAACAACAACAUGUCAACGUUUUUCAUUUAUGUUCACAAAAAAUUAAAAAAGAGUUUAAAAAUCACAAAAAAUGUAUGAAGUUUAACAAAAACAAUAAAAACUAAAGUUAAUUAGAAGUAAGAAAAAAACUAA